AAUGAACGCUGGCGGCGUGCUUAACACAUGCAAGUCGAACGGUAAGGCCCUUCGGGGUACACGAGUGGCGAACGGGUGAGUACCACGCGGGUGACCUGCCCUGCACUUCGGGAUAAGCCUGGGAAACUGGGUCUAAUACCGGAUAGGACCCCGGACUGCCUGGUGUGGGGUGAAAAGCUUUUGCGGUGUGGGAUGGGCCCGCGGCCUAUAGGCUUGUGGGUGGGGGGAUGGCCUACCAAGGCGACGACGGGUAGCCGGCCUGAGAGGGUGUCCGGCCACACUGGGACUGGGAUACGGCCCAGACUCCUACGGGAGGCAGCAGGGGGGAAUAUUGCACAAUGGGCGCAAGCCUGAUGCAGCGACGCCGCGUGAGGGAUGACGGCCUUCGGGUUGUAAACCUCUUUCAGCAUCGACGAAGCGAAAGUGACGGUAGGUGCAGAAGAAGGACCGGCCAACUACGUGCCAGCCGCCGCCGUAA
rnacentral:rRNA from 1 species